AAUAACACGUUGAUAAGGACUAGUAGGUAAGAAAGUUGUUAUAGAGAGGAAGAUAUUUGCUGGAAAUCUUCUAACAGCAGCAUUAUUGAAUUCACCUUGGAGUGCGACUAAUCAUCGCCGUUUAAGCUACGUUACAGUUAAUUAAGUGCAUGAUUAUAGAUCAUGAAUUAGGAUGGUACCGCGAGAUAAAUCGUUCCUAUA
rnacentral:ncRNA from 1 species